GUCACAACACACCACAGAUGCCUGACUUGCAAAAGGGAGCAACAGUGAAAAAUUCCAACUGCAGGGACCGAGAUUCCUGUGGGGAAGGCCAGGCACAGACUGGUGAGCUAGGUUCUGCCCCUCUCCCUGCUAAGUAGGCCUCCCUUGGAGUCUUCUAGCCCUGGGUGCGGUAUGUUGUUUGCUGGGCUGGCUGAGAAAAUCACUCUCGUCUCGCAUGGUCUUUUGCCAUGGACAUCGCCUCUCCUCCCAUCCAAAGGAAGUUUGUUUACCCUCCGGAUCUGCCUGGCCCCUUGCCUUGCUCUGGACAAUGGAAUGCAGAAGUGAAGCUGGGAGGCUUCCAGGCCUGGGCCCCAAGAGGUCUCACAGCUUCUAUUUUCACUUUCUUGAAACUCAGUCACCAUGUGAAGAAUCCUAAACUCUCUUGCUAGAAAGGCCACGCGGAGGGAAACCAAGCAUACCAGCCGGCAGCUGAGACCAACAGCCAGACACGGGCACGAGAGCAUCUCAGACCUUCCAGCCCUGGCCAGACUCCAGGCAGAUUGAGAAGAAAGGAGUCCAGCCACAUAAACACAUCAGGUCCUACCACUCCCUGCAGACUCUACUUCCAGAUUGAAGGUGAGAGACAGGGGAAGAAGGAGCGAUAGCACAACACUGUUUCCCUACUCAUACACUUUCUGCUUUGCUCCUGUGUGAUGCCUGGGGGUUUGAACCCUGGUCCUUGAGCAUGGCACGUUGGGUGCUCUACCAAGUGAGCGAUCUCCUGGCUCCUAUCUACAAAACUGUGUGGAUGUAGACUUUCUGUUUGGUAAUGUAGCACUAUUAACAGUACCACCACUUUGGAAAAAUUGUAUUUUUCCCCCUUUACUUGUUAGAGAGAGGGGAGGGAGAAACAAACAGAGAGGAAAGACAUCAUAGCACCGUUCCACCAUCCACAGAGGCUCCUGUUGCUGUCCAUACUGGUCCCAUGUGGUGCCAGGACUGCAUGAACUAUUUGUUAAGGCAUUUGCUCUACCAGGUGAGCUAUCUCCCAGCUCCCUAGUAUAUGGUCUAUUGUCUUUGGUAGCUACCUAAGAGUGGAAUUGCUGGGUCAUGUGGUGACUCCGCAUUGAAUGUUCUUCUAUUUUCUAUAGUGGUAGCACCAUUUUACCAUCAUACUAGCAAUGUAUAAGGUCUCCAAGUGAUUGUGCGCGUGUGUGUGUGUGUUCAAAGAAAACCCCUGCUUUUCACUUGAGUUCAAACACAAAAGCCAGAUUUCAGGAGAGGCAAUUUGGGGACCUCGAAUUAGCUCAUCACCCCCAGAAAAGCCCAGUAGAAAGUCCUUCCAGGUUCCACUUGUCCUGAAGAGCUUGAUGACAACCCUGGCUUUACAAGCUUCCUCAGGUGGCAUGUGGGUGCCUUGGGGAAGACGGUAUGUGUGACAUGUGAGCAAGCCUGGUCCCUUGGAGCCCAGGCAGCUGUGCCAGGGACACCUCUGCCUGUCACUGAGGGAAGCAGAGCAAUGAGGGGUGAGCUGGCAGAAAGCAGUGCUAACAAAACUAAGGCCCACUUGGGUACUGGGAGGUGGUAGGAGCAGGGCCAGCCUGUAAGAAUUAGCCCCAGGCUCGCCACACCCCCACACACAUCCCAAAGGGACUGAGAAGUGAUCUCUGACUCCUCUUGGAAGGGAAAAAGACCAGGAACACUUGGCAAAGUGCACCAAUGACUACCCACAUCCUGAAUGUUAACUAGCGCUUUGACUAAAUGUGCUGAGUACUGUAUGAGUAUUGGUUGUGGCUGUGUUUCACAAGGGCCAAGGAGAGAGCUCAGCGUUGGGAGUGCAGGACUUGCAUGCCAGUGCCCCAGGGUCGAUCCCUGCCUGGCGUUGCAUAUGCCAGAGCUGAGUGGUGUUCUGGCCUUUCCCUGUCUUUUUCAUACAAAUAAAUAAACGCAUGUUUCUUAAAA